UUUUUUUUUUUUUUUUUAGCCACAUAAAAAGGGAGUAAAACAAUUAAACCCCAGGCCCUGCUGCGUGUGCAGAGGCACUCCAGAGCUCCGAGGAAGCACUUCCCAGCCCGGCUGCCCGGAGCCCGGUCCCUGUGAUGCGGUGCCAGCGGCAGCUCUGUGCUUCACGCCUGGCUGCCCACGGCAUGAGCCCAGCCCGGGGCACUGCCAGCCCAGUGUUCUCCUGCUCUCCCCAGCCCUGCAGAUGUUUCAGCUCCACUGGGCUCCCUGGCCAGCCCAGCAGCAGCCACCCCUCCUCUCCUGCCCGCCUCGGAAGAGCUCUGCGGCUUGCACGGUUCUCUUCAGCUUUUUGCUUUUGAAAGAAAAUAUCUCAAUAAAAAUUCAUGCUUGCAGCAUAAACACAAGCUGGGCCGGUACUUCCACUCCUCCCUCGGCGGGAUGUGCUCAUCCCUUGACUUCCAGCUCAGCCAGUCCUGAGGUGCAUCACUGCCUGGACAGCAGCACACCCGCCCUCCCAAAAAACCCCAAACCCCGUCGCCGUGCUGGCAAGGACAAUGCUCAUCCCUAAAGGACCUGCCCUUCCCAAUCUAUCCAACAUCCCAAGGCUCUUGGGCAGCACAGGCAGAGCUCUGGAGGUGUCCAGAAGGCUGGGACUGACCAGCACAGAGUGUUCUGGAUGGGCUGGAGUGGCUGAGCACAGCCCGUGGCCCCCAUGCAGCCAUGGCACAGAUCCUGGGAGCUGUGUGGUGAGUCAAGAAGCCCUGAUGCUGGAUUCACUGCACAGCCUGUGAAUUAGUCAAUCCUCCUCUUUCCCCUGGGGAGGGGGGCUGGUCCCAAUUCAAAUAUUGUGUAAGCUGAAAAAGAGCCUCAUUAAAAAAAAAAAAAAAAAAAAAAAAACAAAAACAAAAACAAAAAAACAGACCCAAACAGAUAAAAUGCAGAAAUACUAUUUUGGAGGAACCGGGGAAAGCUGAAGCAAUAAUGACAAACGAUUCCUUGCUGUUCUCCCAUUCCCUUCCUCCCAGGGCCUUAAAAAGGCUUCUCACCAUCCCACUCCAGCCCUGCUCACGUUACACUGGGAUCAACCAAAGCAGAGUCUGGUGCUUGUGUCCUGCCCAAGGUCACCGUGGCAGCCAGAGCCCAGGAGGAGCCCAGCCUGGAGCUUCUGGAGCUUCCCAGGGCUCCAGCCCUGCCCCUGACCCCGGCAUUCCCACAUUCCCACAUGGCUGGGGGAACACACGACCUGGGGAGCGAUGGAGCAACAGGGCUGGGCUUUGUUGGGUUCAUUUCCAUGGACACCAUGCAGAAAGCCAAGGCAACCUUCCCAACUUGCCCUUUUUUCCAAGGCUUUUCUCUCUUCCUCCUUUUCUUCCCCCCAGUUCUUAAAAUCCAAUUAUAGCACGACUCUCUCAGCAGGGGUCAGUGUGGAAUAAGAAUCGCCCGAGUUAAUGGACAUGAGACCAAGAAAGAUUAAUGCCUAAAUGGUUUCAAAAGUUGUAUGAUGCCGAUUUCAUUAACAUUUUAAUUGUAAUGUAUCUUUUUAAUCUUCUUUCACACUAAUGGUUUUUAUAUGCUUCAAAAAAAGAAGAAAAAAAACUGCUGACAACAAAAAUAUCAACAUACCAAAAUUAACAGACGGAACUGAGUGCUGUAAUGGGAACUGAAUGAAAUGCAGAAAACCAUGUUAAUGAUGCAUUAAGAGUAGAAACUGUGCUCAGACAAGAGUCAAAAAUUCAGCCCUACACUUGCAUGCCCUGACUUUGAACAGUGGCACCUUUCCCCAGGUGCUCAGCACAGCCCCACGUUGUGUCUUUCAGGGGGAAAAAAAACCCAACCUGUCAAGUUACUUACACUUAAAUGUACGUUUCAUAAUCACUUACAAGUUUUAUAAAAAAAAAACCAUAUAGAAACAACUCCAGCAGCUUUACCAAAUGCAGAGGUUUAUCCAAAAAAGAAAAGCUGGUAAUUAAUCUAAUUUAACCAGGGUGAGAGAAAGGAGCAGCAGGUUCAGGGGAGGAGGUUUUUGCUGCUGUCCAUCCCCUUCUCCAUGGAAUGGCACUACUGUGGCUGUCACCCCUCCCUGGGCUCAGGCACCUAAACACAGCAGAAUUCCCAGACAGGAAAGAUGCUGUUGCAACCGCCGUGCAAAAUUUUAUUUUACUUAAUUAGAAGACAAUUAAACUUAAGCAAUAAUGUUUCAUUAAGCAUGGGCAUGUAUUGAUGAUGUUAGCAUGGAUAAAUGGAGGCACAGAAGGAGCAGAUAAUUGGGGAGCAGACAGAUGAAGUUUCAAACAACUUUGGUUUGUAAAAUGAGUGAGAGAUACGGUUCUGUCACUUGCCCUGAGGCCAAGCUGCAGCUGCAAGGGUGAGGCAAAAACCACAAAGUUUUCAUUCCCCAUCCAUGAGAACUUCUUAGAAGGCAGAAGAGCCAGUCAGAGGGAUUCAAAGCCUCCUUAUGCCCAUUAGGAAAUCCUAAUCCCUAAGUUUGCCAUGAGGAUGUAAUUCCAGCCACAAGAGAAUAACCAAAAUGCACAUUAUCCUACUCAGGUUUAGGCCUUUAAGGUUGCUGCAGCUGGUGAGGUGCUGAGGGAGGUUUCCAGUGAAGGGCACCUAUGCAGAGAGGUUAUUCCUGCUUGUGGGAAUUUCACCCCAAAGGACUCAGCCAUGCCUCUGCCAGGAGGGGUCUGUACCCCCCCAGGGCAGCCAGGCUCAUGCAUCCCACUGGAAGUCUCCCAGCAAGCCCCAUCUGCCUCUUCCCUUGGAAAUCAAAUCCUUUUAUCCACCUUCAAAUGGAUAAAUCCCCACUCCCCAUCUCCUCUGGGCACCUUGCCAUUGCCUUCUGCGUGGCACACCACGAAACACCAACCCUUCACUGAUGUCUCACGUUAAACCUCUGUGGAGCAUGACCCCAUAAAGCUCAGGAGGGCCAAAACAUGAUCACCCCUCUGCCCUGUCACCACUGCCCAGCCUCUCCUACAGCCUCCCUGCAAGCAUUGAUGCUCUCUCCUGCUUCCCUAAUGCUUCCUGAAAUCCAAGCGUGAAUGUUUGUCCUAUGACAAGGAGAACUGGCAUGUAAAACAUGUCCCCCCACACAAAAUGUAUAUAUAUAUCCCAGGCUGCCAUAUGCUUCCCAGUGGAUACCAUGGCAGGAACGCUCUGUGGAGCGCAGCCAGCGCUGGCAGGACCCUUCUCCACCUCCAGCUCAGCCCCACUGAACCCCCAGCUCCUUGCACAGGCUGUGCUGCUGAAAUCCUGCCCUGAACACCCAGCACUGGCUGCUGAACCCCAAUCCACACAUCCAGAUGGUCCAGAGGAGCCCUGAUCGCCACCGAGAUGCUGCAGGGGGGAAAAGAGGGAUUCUCUCCUAUUCUCUCCUGCUGUUCUCACGAAUGAUGAACAGAUCCUGAUGGUGGCUUCGUGGGGAUGACACCGGGGAGGUGAAGGGUUUAAUCUCAUCCCAGUGACUAUAUAUGGUCACCCUGAUGGAGCCACCUCCCUCUGCUCACGCUCUGCUGCCCUUGGCUCCUGGCACAAACUGGCAGGGCCUGGGCACGGCGCCGGCGCGCCAGAAGUCAGCAGACUCCCCACGUUCCUGUGCUCCCUCUCCCCCUUUCCCAAUUUUUUCUGGCUUGUAAAAAUCUUUUAUCAGUUAAAAACCAGAGAGAAUGCGCAAAUACUCAAGAAAAAAAAAAAAUGAAACAUUUUAAGAGCGCUUUAUAGAGAAUUGUUGCACGGUGGAAAAAAAAAACAAGCUGUCAAGUUAUUUAUGCUUAAAUGUACAUUUCAUAAUCACUUAGAUGUUUUAUGAAAAAAAAAAAUAAAAUCAAUCUUUUGGUGAAAACUGUAUCAAUUUAUUCAGCCCACACAGGCUGGUUUGUUAGUGCAGGGUAGUUGGUGGCUGCAACUCCUGCCCCCCACCCCCCCAUCCACCCACCUAGGGGGGAAAAAAUGCACUGAAAUACUUGUCUUCAUAGGAAAUGCAACACCAAGAAAUGUACUUGACACACAAAAUUCUGUGAAAAGUCUGACGUGAGGACCUCUGAAAAGCCUGAGGCCAAACAGCCCCGGGAACACACACAGCACAAAACCUGUGCCAAGGGCUAUUUAUCUUCAUUUUAUCCCACUGAGCCAGGAGCUUUCAGGGGGUCACCGUACCAGAGAACUGUUCUCAUCACCACUGUCCCAACAGCACAGCAUCCCCCAUCCCUCCUGUCCAGCCCAGCCUGGAUCCGUGGGAUCCUUCACAGGGCUGAACCCCCCAGCAGGGAGAAGGAGGAAGCUCCACACGCUGCCUCCAUCCUCUGUCCCAGCAGUCUGAUUUUUAUUACCUCCGUCCCCAUUUAGGAGUAACCACAUGACAAACCCGAGCGCAAUCCUGCCCGGGGAGCUCGCCUGGGAUUGCCUCUCCCUCCCCGGGAACACAGCAUUUUAGCAAGUUUUCCCUUCACAGCAGAAUUUGUGGCUACAAAGAAUGUAAGAUUUAAUUUUCUUUUUUUUCAGAUCCCUGUUCUGCCUCCAAACAUUUGCUUAAAAACAAGUUGAACUUAAAAAAAACCCCAAAACCCCAACAAAAAAUAAACCACUAAUGAAUCACAGUUCCUAGCAAAUGAGCAAUUGCAGUUGACACAAUGAAUUAUGCCUGAAGCAAGCUGGGAAACAUAUUUUGCAAAUGAUCUCAUCCACAGGCAAACCUGGCAUGACACUUGAUUUGCUAAAAAAGACACAAAGCCUGUCAAAAUUCCUGUCACUCCGCAAAUAAAGUCAGGUAGAGAAAACCAACAGCCUCACCCUCUUUUAAGAACGCUUCACCUAUUUCCCAACUGCUCCACAGGCUUGAUUUAAUAAAAUUAAAAAACCCCACACGCCCUCCUAUAGGUGUGCCCACCCCAGUGGGUGCUGAGGGCUAUGGGAUCCGCUGCCACUUCCCUGGAUGAGGAGUAAAUGGGCUGGGAAGCUGCUCUUUGGAUGCCAAACACAGGCUCAGCUCGAUUUAAAGCCUAAUUGCAGCAAGAUCCGAUGCUCGAUGCUCGCUCUGGCCAUUAGGUAUGGCAGGGAACUCACAGUUCCUUUUAAUUUCCUCCAACUGCAUGCCUGGGUUUUGUUUCUCUCAUUACAUUCAAGUAAGCUCAAAGGUUAGAAAAGAGGGGGGGAAAAGCCACUCAAGUGCAGCCCCCCCUGCUCCUCAGCAUCCCUGGAGCUGUCUGGAGCAGUUCCCUUUGGCCCAGCACAUCCCACCCUAUUUCCCCACCUGAAAACUGCUGGCUCAGAAAACCUGGAAAGACUCAAAGCCAUGGCUGAACCCUCCUUCUAACCCCAUUUUGUCAGGCUCGAGUAUUUUUAAGCACAGAGCAAAGCAGGAGCCGAGUCCCAGCACUCUUUCCCGGGUUGUUCCAUGGUGUUUGUCCCCAAUCCAUGACAGCAGGGCCAGCUCUGACCCCAUCCCUGCCCACCCCACAGCCCUCCAGGACCACGGGCUGUGCACCAGCACAGCCUGAAAUAAAUAUUCCACUCCAAGGUGAGCUGGGCUGUGUCCCCAGCCAGGAAAGCACAGCCUGGAGUUUUCUCCCAAGCCAGCCCAGAGGCUCUGGCAGGAGCUCUGCUGGUGCUCCUUCCCUGGCCAGCAAUGCUGCAAAGUGGCCUCGCUCCCCCUGACACCUCCAGCUGGGAUCUGAGCCAAAGCCCAGUCCACAGGGACUCACCUGGAUGCUCCAGCCAGGCUCAAGCUCAAGGAGAAGGGAUUUUUCUUUUCUGGACUACCAAGCAGUGAGGAUGCUCCGUGUCCCCCCCUGAGCAUGGGGAUGCUGCCCUGUCACUGGCACCAGCCAGGAGGAGCCAAAAUCUGCCUCCAAUUCCAGCAGGCUCCCUCAGAAAAGCACAGGCAUGACUAGGAGAGCUAAAAGGCUUUUAUAUUGCCAGAGGGCUCCAAAAAUACCACUUCCAAAGCGAUCCAGCAUCAACGCACGCAUCCCGGCUAAUGGCACCCAUCUCUCACAACAAAGGAGGGCUCUGGGAAAAGCUUGGGGAGCUCUGGACAAAGUUUUGGGAAUACAAAAACAGCCACAGGCCAACCAAGACACAAACCACACCUCUGGCCCCAGUGGAACCCCCUGUUCCUGCCUUGAUGCCUGGCUUUGCUCUCUGUAAUUCCAGCCGCCUUGGGAGUUUUUUUUUUUUGACAAAUUUUAAGCUUCAGAAAUCCAUCCCCACCCUCCUCUGUCCCAAUAGGACAGCUUUAACCCAGUGAAGCCUUAAUUAAAAGGCCUCUGGGGGAGGAAAAUCCCCAAAACACAGCAGUUACAGCAACAGAAGGAGAUUUACUCUCAGGAGGGAGAGGAUGAGACCCCUAAUUUUUUUUUAAUACUUGCCACUUACUUCAAGUCCAAGCAUUAUCACCUCCAUCAUCCUCACCUUGGGGUCACAGCCUUACUGUCCUCAGCUGGGCAAGCCACAGCAAGUCAGCUUCUAAGGAACAUCUCAGCUUUGCUCUUUUUAGUUAAAAGCUUUCAGAAUUUCAGAGCAGGCUGUGAAUCUGGCAGGAAAUUUGGGGAGAGGCGUGCUGGGAUGCUGCACUUUGGAGCAGCCCCGCUUCUCCCGAGGAGCCCAGUGGCAGUGUCCCCACGGAGGAGCAGCAGCAGCAGCAGCAAUCAUCCCGGCUUGUUUACCGAUCCCAGCUUCUCCUGCUGUUUAAUAUUUCAGCUGGAGAAGGUGAGCCGGCACGCCAGCCCCUCAAUUACGCAGGGCGAGAGGCAAACACUUGGCAGGCAGCGAGCACAUCAAGCUGCCCACAAGCCUCGCAAAUGCCUCCGGAAAGGAGGAGGGGGGAGAGAGGAAAAAAAAAAAA
rnacentral:lncRNA from 1 species